rnacentral:rRNA from 1 species
GACGAACGCUGGCGGCGUGCUUAACACAUGCAAGUCGAACGGAAAGGCCCUGCUUUUGUGGGGUUCUCGAGUGGCGAACGGGUGAGUAACACGUGAGUAACCUGCCCUUGUCUUUCGGAUAACUUCAGGAAACUGGGGCUAAUACCGGAUAGGAGCUCCUGCUGCAUGGUGGGGGUUGGAAAGUUUCGGCGGUUGGGGAUGGACUAGCGGCUUAUCAGCUUGUUGGUGGGGUAGUGGCUUACCAAGGCUUUGACGGGUAGCCGGCCUGGGAGGGUGACCGGGCACAUUGGGACUGAGAGAGGGCGCAGACUCCUACGGGAGGCAGCAGUGGGGAGUAUUGCACAAUGGGCCGAAGCCUGAUGCAGCGACGCCGGGUGCGGAAUGACGGCCUUCGGGUUGUGAACCGCUUUCGCCUGUGACGAAGCGGGAGUGACGGUAAUGAGUAAAGAAGCACCGGCUAACUACGUG